ensembl:lncRNA
AAAAUAGGACAACUCAUUCACAGGUUGUGUGUGGGGGGCUGCUGACAGGGACUCUGACCAACAUUAUCAGAAGGUGAAGUUGGGAAGACAUGGUGCCUUUUAUUCCCUUUGGUGUCUCUUUGUUUGGAAGCUUUGUUUUCUAAUGAAGCAUUCUCUGUGGAGUGAGUCACAGUUGUGAGAACCGGGAAUGUUUUAAGAGUAUGUUUAUGGAUUUUAGAAAUAAAUAAGCAAUGAGUAAAAUGCUUCAAAACUGAAAGUACUGUGCCAUAUAUUUUUAUCUGUCACCAAGGCACAGGAGAAAUGUCUAAGUAUUGAUUUUCUACUUUUAUGCCCUCUGUUGGAGGUGCUCGUUAAAGCCAGAAGCACUCCCAAGGACUGGAUUGGAGGGUCCUGUGGGGUGACUUAUCCAGACGGAUGCCAUGGAACUGUUCUUUGUCCUUAUGAGAGUCUCCUGGAAGGGCUCUACUAAAUUCACAAAACAGCAAACACGUGUGCUUGUCUCUGACUCUACCUCCGUGUGACUACAAGAAGUCUCCAUCUACAAACCCCAACGAAGGAGAAAAGUUUCGGACCGGACAUGGAAAGUAACUACUGACAGCUCACAUGGCGGACUUCAAAAAUCUGAACAAGAAGCUCCUUGCCGGAAGUGUAGGAAUCUGGGAAAGAAAAGCAGAGAAAACUGAGUGAGUUGGAGUUCCACAGACACUGGUGUUAAAAAGUGAGAUUCGUGAUUUUGAAGAGUUUUUGGUCACACAAAUGGAAAUGGAAAUUCUGCUAAACAAGGUUCUCUGGGUACUCCUGGAAAAGGCUGCUGGAUCCUCUCUGUGCAGCACCGGCCCAGAAUAAAACAUGGUGUGAGACUGCUCAAGAGAUAACAAUAAAACAAGGAGUUAAAAUGUAAGAACCUGGUGAAGGAAGCUACUUGAAAGAGGUACAUGACCUUCAUUCUCUUGGCCAAAGGCAGUCAUCGAGGGGAUUGUGGUGGAAGAAUGACACGGCUGGGGAGGAAUUGUUGGAAGUGUCUUAUGAAGCAUUUAAAGAAAGUCGAAAACAAGAUGAGUUUGGCUUUUGAAAGUAAGAAUAGAAUUAAGAGGUCUUUGCUCACAUAACUCCUUAGGAAUCUCCAUGUCUCCAGGAACUCAUCCAUUUUCUUUUCUUGGAAUGUGGCUGUCCACGCUCCCCCUAUCUCCCCUCUCCUCCAGAUCCACUCUCCCUCCCCCAUUCCCCUACAGAAAAGAGCAGCUCUCCAAGGGACAGCAACCAAACGUGACAGAAUGAGAUACAAUAAGACAAGGCAAAAGCCCUUCCACUGAGGCUGGACACGGCAACCAGAGAUGAGGAAAAGAGUCCCAGGAGCAGGCAAAAUGUCAGAGACACACACUCCACUGUUAAAAAUCUCUCAAGACCCUGCACUCCUGGGAGCCUCCGGAGGUGGACUGGCUUUUUGCCCUGGUGUAUGUGGGGGACUUCGAGAGCCCAUCCCACUUGAAGGGAUGCACUCUGUCUCUGAACACAUGGGGAGGGACCCAGGCCCAGCACAGGAAGAUUUGGUGGACUUGGUGGAGCCCCGGUUGGGGGCCCUACCCUGCCUGGGGAGUGGUGG